rnacentral:rRNA from 1 species
AACCAAGAAAGUUAAGUCAUAUCAUUAACGGUAAAAAGACAGUUAGAUACUUAUAAAAAGCUUAUUAAAUGUCUAUAAAAAGGUAAAAUUUGAAUAUAUACACAUAAUUUUAUUAUAGCUUAUGCAUUGAAGCUGUGAUAGCCUUGAGGGAAACUGGGAUUAGAUACCCCAUUAUUCUUGGUUGCAAAUAAAUUAUAUUUACCAGAGUACUAUGAAUCACAAAAGUUUAAAACUCAAAGAGCUUGGCGGUGUUUUAGACCUUUUAGGGGAACCUGUCUCAUAAUCGACAAUCCACGUUAAACCUAACCUUUUUUUGUUUUCAGUUUGUAUACCGUCGUCGUCAGGUAACUUUUAAAAAUUUAACAGUUAGCCCCAAAACUAUGUAAGUUUAAACGUCAGAUCAAGGUGCAACCUAUAAAGAGGUGAAGAUGGGUUACAAUUAUUGAAUUAUAACUACGAACUAAUUAUUUGAACAAGUAAUAAUAAAGGAGGACUUAAAAGUAAAUUGAAUUAUAUAAAUAUUUUGAAUAAGGCUCUGAAACGU